UGGGGGAUAUUGCGCAAUGGGGGCAACCCUGACGCAGCAACGCCGCGUGAAGGAUGAAGGUUUUCGGAUUGUAAACUUCUUUUAUUAAGGACGAAAAAUGACGGUACUUAAUGAAUAAGCUCCGGCUAACUACGUGCCAGCAGCCGCGGUAAUACGUAGGGAGCAAGCGUUGUCCGGAUUUACUGGGUGUAAAGGGUGCGUAGGCGGCUUUGCAAGUCAGAUGUGAAAUCUAUGGGCUCAACCCAUAAACUGCAUUUGAAACUGUAGAGCUUGAGUGAAGUAGAGGCAGGCGGAAUUCCCCGUGUAGCGGUGAAAUGCGUAGAGAUGGGGAGGAACACCAGUGGCGAAGGCGGCCUGCUGGGCUUUAACUGACGCUGAGGCACGAAAGCGUGGGUAGCAA
rnacentral:rRNA from 1 species